CCUACGGGAGGCAGCAGUGGGGAAUAUUGGUCAAUGGGCGCUAGCCUGAACCAGCCAAGUAGCGUGAGGGAUGACUGCCCUCUGGAUUGUAAACUUCUUUUGUAUGGGAGUAAAGUGCAGUAUGUAUACUGCUUUGCAUGUACCUUAUGAAUAAGGCUCGGCUAACUCCGUGCCAGCAGCCGCGGUAAUCCGGAGGAUCCGAGCGUUAUCCGGAUUUAUUGGGUUGAAAGGGAGCGUAGGCGGGUUGUUAAGUCAGUUGUGAAAUUUUGGGGCUCAACCGUAAAAUUGCAGUUGAUACUGGCAUCCUUGAGUACAGUAGAGGUAGGCGGAAUUCGUGGUGUAGCGGUGAAAUGCGUAGAUAUCAGGAAGAACUCCGAUUGCGAAGGCAGCCUGCUGGACUGUAACUGACGUUGAUGCUCGAAAGUGUGGGUAGCAAACAGGAUUAGAUACCCCUGUAGUC
rnacentral:rRNA from 1 species